rnacentral:rRNA from 1 species
AACUGUCUCUUGCAGCCCACCCAUGAAACUGAUCUCUUAGUCCAAAAGCUAAGAUUUUACCACAAGACGAGAAGACCCUGUGGAGCUUAUAAACCAAGCUCAAAAUUAUGCCCUCCUUGGUUUUCAGUUGGGGCGACUUCGGAGCACAAAAAACCCUCCGACAUAGUACCAGCCAAACUUAGAUGGACACAUCAAAUAUAUAAAGACCCAGUGGUUUUCAAAACCAUCUGAUCAAAGAACCAAGUUACCCCAGGGAUAACAGCGCCAUCCUCUCUUAGAGUCCCUAUCGACGAGAGGGCUUACGACCUCGAUGUUGGAUCAGGACAGCCUAAUAGUGCAACAGCUAUUAAUGGUUCGUUUGUUCAACGAUUAA